ACAUCCAGAGAACUUGGCAGAGAUGCCUUGGUGCCUUCGGGACCUCUGAGACAGGUGCUGCAUGGCUGUCGUCAGCUCGUGUUGUGAAAUGUUGGGUUAAGUCCCGNAACGAGCGCAACCCCUAUCCUUUGUUGCCAGCGAUUCGGUCGGGAACUCAAAGGAGACUGCCGGUGAUAAACCGGAGGAAGGUGGGGAUGACGUCAAGUCAUCAUGGCCCUUACGAGUAGGGCUACACACGUGCUACAAUGGCGCAUACAAAGAGAAGCGACCUCGCGAGAGCAAGCGGACCUCAUAAAGUGCGUCGUAGUCCGGAUCGGAGUCUGCAACUCGACUCCGUGAAGUCGGAAUCGCUAGUAAUCGUAGAUCAGAAUGCUACGGUCGAAUACGUUCCCGGGCCUUGUACACACCGCCCGUCACACCAUGGGAGUGGGUUGCAAAAGAAGUAGAUAGCUUAACCUUCGGGAGGGCGUUUACCACUUUGUGAUUCAUGACUGGGGUGAAGUCGUAACAAGGUAAGCGUAGCGAG
rnacentral:rRNA from 1 species